CGGGUGAGUAACGCGUAGGAAUAUACCUUAAAGUGGGGGAUAACUUGGGGAAACUCAAGCUAAUACCGCAUAAUCUCUGAGGAGCAAAGCUGGGGACCUUCGGGCCUGGCGCUUUAAGAAUAGCCUGCGUCUGAUUAGCUAGUUGGUAGGGUAAAGGCCUACCAAGGCGACGAUCAGUGGCUGGUCUGAGAGGAUGAUCAGCCACACUGGGACUGAGACACGGCCCAG
rnacentral:rRNA from 1 species